rnacentral:lncRNA from 1 species
GGUGUAGUGACAUUGGAGCGAGAGUGCAGGUAAUUGUUAGGAAAUAACUAGCACUGCGCAUGACUAACACGAUAAGUCACAUGGAUGUCUGCUCACUCGUUAGUGACUUUCUCGAUGCUGCAAUAGUGUAAUUGGUCUUUUGACCUGCGGUGCUACAGUUACUCGCAGUGUGGCUGUUGGAGUUUGAUUACACAUAAAUAUUGACUCAAUGAGUUCUUGUAAUGGAUGUUGGUGACAGUU